GACGAACCGUGCGAACGUUGUUCGGAAUCACUGGGCUUAAAGGGCGCGUAGGCGGGCUGUCAAGUCUGGGGUGAAAUGCCGCGGCUCAACCGUGGAACUGCCUUAGAUACUGACGGCCUCGAGGAAGGUAGGGGCAUGCGGAACUGUAGGUGGAGCGGUGAAAUGCGUUGAUAUCGGAAGGAACGCCGGUGGCGAAAGCGACACACUGGGUCUCAACUGACGCUGAGGCACGAAAGCCAGGGGAGCGAACGGG
rnacentral:rRNA from 1 species